rnacentral:rRNA from 1 species
GAGUAACGCGUAUUAACCUGCCUAUUAGCGGGGGAUAACUAUUGGUAACGAUAGCUAAUACCGCAUAAUAUUAAUUAUUGCAUGAUAAUUGAUUGAAAGAUGCAAGCGCAUCACUAGUAGAUGGACCUGCGUUGUAUUAGCUAGUUGGUAAGGUAAGAGCUUACCAAGGCGACGAUACAUAGCCGACCUGAGAGGGUGAUCGCCCACACUGGGACUGAGACACGGCCCAGACUCCUACGGGAGGCAGCAGUAGGGAAUCUUCGGCAAUGGACGAAAGUCUGACCGAGCAACGCCGCGUGAGUGAAGAAGGUUUUCGGAUCGUAAAGCUCUGUUGUAAGUCAAGGCGUGUGCGACGAGUGGAAUU